CUGAGAAANAGCCUNAKAAACCGCUACCGCAUCCAAUGAWNGCAACAUGCNCGUAAAUUACCCAAUCUUGACACAAGGAGGUAGUGACAAUAAAUAACAAUGCCCGGGCCAUUCUUUGUCUUGGCAAUUGGAAUGANAACAAUUUAAACCCCUUAUCGAGGAUCAAUUGGAGGGCAAGUCUGGUGCCACCACCCNCGGUAAUUCCAGCUCCAAUAACGUAUAUUAAA
rnacentral:rRNA from 1 species